GCUGUGCAGAGAGGGAGAGCUGCGCAGCGCCCCUUCAGCGAAGCAGGAGGAGAAACAGAAGGGGCUCUGUUCAAGCUGGCCACUGUCUCUGCGCAGCGCCUCUCCUGUGAAGUGCCUCUCCUGCAAAGCAGGAGAGGCACUUCGCUGAAGUGGCGCUGCGCAGCUCUCCCUCUCUGCGCAGC